AGGACUCAUCAGUUCAGCUUCUCAAAAUGAGGUUCCCUUCUCAGCUCCUGGGGCUGCUGAUGCUCUGGGUCCCAGGAUCCAGCGGGGAGGUCGUGCUGACACAGACCCCGCUCUCGCUGCCUGUCACCCCCGGAGAGUCGGCUUCCAUCUCCUGCAGGGCCAGUCAGAGCCUCGUACACAGUAAUGGAAACACAUAUUUGAGCUGGUUCCGGCAGAAGCCAGGCCAGUCCCCACAGGGCCUGAUCUACUUGGUUUCCAACCGUUUCACUGGGGUCCCAGACAGGUUCAGUGGCAGCGGCUCAGGGACAGAUUUCACCCUGAGAAUCAGCAGAGUGGAGGCUGACGAUGUGGGAGUUUAUUACUGCAGUCAAAGUACACACAAUCCGCCCACAGUGGUUCAGGCCCGAACACAAACCUCUCUGUUUGGCAGUCCCCACCGGGCACGUGUGUUGCCUGAGCAGGGAGCUGGCACAGCAGAGGCUCUGAGCUGGCAUCAGAGGCAGGUGCUGGGGAAGUCAAGGCAGUAA